UACGUAGGUGACAAGCGUUGUCCGGAUUUACUGGGCGUAAAGAGCUCGUAGGCGGUCUGUUGCGUCCGCUGUGAAAACCCAGGGCUUAACCCUGGGCUUGCAGUGGAUACGGGCAGACUAGAGGUAGGUAGGGGAGAAUGGAAUUCCCGGUGUAGCGGUGAAAUGCGCAGAUAUCGGGAGGAACACCGGUGGCGAAGGCGGUUCUCUGGGCCUUACCUGACGCUGAGGAGCGAAAGCGUGGGGAGCGAACAGG
rnacentral:rRNA from 1 species